CAUGGGCUAAGUCUCAUCUUUCUCCAUUACCCUGCCGAGGGAAACACUAAACAAAAGAUUCUAUACUAUCAAAACAAAUUACAUAAAACACCAAAAAUAUAAACAUGAUUAUAAGCAAACACCAUGAAAAACAUGAAUAAAAUUAAGAACAAACAUAAAACUGUUUGAUGGAAAUCAAUAUCUUGUAUAGAACAUCACUGCAUCGAAGUCUAUGGUUCUUUAAAAUAUUGGUCAUUGCGACCCCUAGAGUAUGUUACCUAUUAGCAGGCUCACCAACCUUCUCAAUCCAGGGCACCUUCUUCUCCGCUGGCAGUUUAGUUAAAGCAAUUGAAGUGAUGCAUAGGGGAAAAAAGGCACAUUCAAGGAAACAUACAGGAAGUCACGCCGGUAGUCCUAUCGCUACUCAUCUUGUCAUUUGAAAAGAGAAGCAACUGGAAGGUCAUCCAUAUCGUCCACCUGCACCGUCCACAUCGAUUGAUUUGCCUCGCAUGGUGGAGGGAGGCCGCUAGUGGGAGGAUGAGAGGGACGGGAAGGGGUGGUGUGCAUCUGCGGGUUGUGGCGGGGAGAUCAGCACCAACACAACUAGGGAAGGGGUGGCUAGUCAAGGAGACGACAGAUCGAGGAGGUGACGGUUAGCCAUGGCGGUGGACAUAACCGAGAAGGCAGGACACGAGCAGAGCAGGCAACAUCGCGGGGAAGGAAGGGGUGGCAGCAGCAACGGAACAACCGACUACGUCGGUCGGUAACGCGGUAGAAACAGACGACCGAUGCCGCCAGACAUUGAUGCGGCUGCACACACGUGAGGGAGGCGGCUCUAGGUUUUGGGUCGAGGGAGAGGGAGGCGACGUUGGAGGCAGCGGCCAUGUAGGAUUAUCCCAAGUAAAACAAACAAUGGAAGGAGAGAAGAAUUGAUGGAUUCGGGUCUCACAUAAAAAAAGGUGAGGGGUCUAAGGAAAGAAUUUAUGUUGAUUGAUUCCUAA
rnacentral:lncRNA from 1 species